ACCGAAAUAGCUCAGUUGGGAGAGCGUUAGACUAUAGAUCGAAAGGUCUCUGGUUCGAUCCCAGGCUCCGGCA
rnacentral:tRNA from 1 species